UUUUUUGUUUUUUUUUUUUGAAGAGGUGCAAUGGACACAAUUAUGUCUCUGAGACUCUCAGUGCCUUACCAGAAACAUCCAGGCUUUCCCCAGCAUCCGGAUCUUGCCUGGAACUUGCUGCUUAGCUCUCUUGGCAGCAUUUGCAAUGUGCCGACUUUUCUGUCAGUUCUCUGGGACAUUGGAGAGCUUUACCUGAAGAGUGAGCUGUGCAGGUCUUUCCUCCUUAUCCCGGGGUCUGAGCACUGCACGACACUUUGUGCUGGGCACGGCUCCUCACUGAGAAGUCAGGAGCCUGUCACACUGAUGGCUGUGCCUGCCUUUAUGCCCGGGGCUUCUUUCAUGACAUUUUAACUCCUUUUCCUAGGCAGAGGAAGGGAAUAAAAUACACCACCCCAUGGGUACAGUUACCACAGAGAGGGGUUAGCGUCCUCAGAAGUGCUUAUUAAAGGAGGAUUCAAGAAUGCAGUCUCUCGGCAGACGGAAAAAGGUCGGGUUCAAUGAAAAGUGUUGUAUGAAUCCUGAAACAUGAAUAAAGCCCCGGGUAGGGGCAAAGCAUCUACAGGCCCAUUCCUUAUAGACAGGACUCACAGACUCACAAGAGGUGGGAAGAAACCUCAGAGACAAUCUGAGAGCCACUCAAACCUGCUGUGCACUGGAACCACCUGGGGGUCUUUUAAAGCAAAUUGAUGUCUUGGUCUCAUCCCAGAGGCAGUACCUCAGGGUGGGAUCCUGGCGUGAGGAUGUCUUCUUUGUUCCCCUGCUAUGCAAUUCUGGCGCUCAGGGACUCCUGCGUGUGGCAGACCUGAGACUGACACCCCAAGCCCCUCCUCCUGGGCAUCUCAAACUUGACUGUGGACGUGAAUCGCCCGAGGGGAAUCCUGACAAAAUGCAGACACUGAUUCAGAAGGUCUGGGGUGGGCCUGCCAUUCUGCAGUCUGAAAGGCUCCCAGGACAAGCAGUGUUGCUGCUGGUGCUCAGACCACACUCUGAAACAGCAGGCCCCAGCAUUUGGCCCUAUAAAAAGAUGAGUCACAUGCCCAUCAACCUCCGGUCUUUCUAAGCUCAAGAUUAGAGAGCCAAUGUGGUAGAGAGGUUGGACGGAAUGACCCAUGUUUUUCAUUCUGAUCCUGGAAGUUAAUUGUUGUGUAAUCUUGAGCAAGUCACUUAGCCUCUCUGAUCUUCUAUUUCCUCAGGUGCUAAAAAGGAGAGGAAACUAAUCCUUACUUUACAAAGUCAUUGGGCUGAUCGGAUAAGACAUAUGAAAUUGUUCUGUAAACAGUAAAACACUAUAAAAUGAAAGGGUUUACUAUUACAAGACUGACCUUUGAAAGACACCAACAGUAGCCCUUAAAUGUUGGUCAUUUAUAUGUGCAUGCACAUUUUAUAGUCCUUUAUUUCUCCUUAUAGGAACAUGUGAAUGUGGGCACUCAUAAAACAAAUGAUUUUCAUUUCCUAAAUGGUUUUAACUCUAUAUGUGUGUGUUUGCAUGUGUGUAGCGUAUGUGUAUGUGUGUGUGUGUGUGUGUUUGUGUGUAUUUUCUUAUCCCAUUGCCUGGUAGGAAAGAAUUGCAAGGAAGUUCUCUUUAACCAAGAGGAUUAAAAAAUGCAGAGCAAAAGUUCAGAAGCAGGAGCCAAACUGGUAGCUUUUCUUACUCCUUUCCACUGCAUUAACACACCCUUAGCCAAAACAAAAUGGAACCAUGGCCUGACCAAUUUCUUCUCAGGGUUCUCCCCACUAUGCGUCCCUGCUGGGGUGAGUAUGGCAGCCACGUCUCAUGUCCAGCCUAACCACAGAGGAUCUCACAACCCUAACCCUAUUUGAGGUUUGAGCCCCCAAUUCUCAUUGACGUGUCUGGCCAACACCAGUCAUGCCAUGCAUGUAUGUUCAUUCCCAAAUGAAAUGAAACUCUUGGCAAAUUCUUAAACCGCAUUCUGGAAGCUGCUACUGAGGUUGCGCAAACACAUUUGGCACACACUUAAGGGACCAAGCAGUUCUCUGGGUUGAAUCUCAGAAACAAAAUGUACUUGUCCUACUUCCGAGAUCGUGUCGGAGCUCUUGGCUCCCUCGGCUGAGGAACUGCCUCCUCACUGAUGUCAUCCUGCCACGGAAGGCAAACAUCUUUGGGUUCAGCAGUUCAGGACCAGAAGUGAGAGAAGGUGGGGAUCAAAGGUAAUUGACCCAAGCUUGGCCCUGUUGGGACAACUUUGGGAGAAAAACACCAAUUCUUACAACUGAAGAAUCUUAAAAUAGAAAUGUACUGGCACCAUUCAUAAGGAGGGGCCGUGAGGCUGAAACACUCUUGGGCGAGGGUUACUGGUCACGAUGCCACCUCAAUAAGUGGGGCUUUAUGGAGCUCCAGGCGCUGCCACACACACCGCCUGGAAGUUCCAGUUCCCAGAGACCCAGGAGGGUAUUUGACACCCAAACCAUAGGGAUGAAAUAAUUUCCAUGUAGAGCUCAUGCCUUGCUUUCACGACACACUGCGUAGUAUCUCAGACAUCCGGUGACUGCAUUUUCCUGGCCAAAUUGAGGCGGAUCCUCCUGGACACAAGCACAUUUCUCAACUCUGGGUUGUCUCUCAGCACACAAAGUACCCAGGCUGCUCCAGGCUUCUCAGAAGGCCAUUCUAGAGAAGCGGUGUCUUUUAUUUAAAAAAAAAAAAAAAAAAAAAAAGGAAUCAUCUUUCCCACAUUCAUAUUUUUCACCUGUAAAAUCCAGAAUUUUUAUUACCAGAUCAGACCUCCCUAACACCUAAUGUUUCAGGCCACGUAGACCCACCUGGGUUUCGUGGCUUGAAUAAAAGUUGCCAUGAAAUGAGUUCUGGUGGUCACAAGAGUCUGAUGCCCACGUCUUGUGGAGAUUUGCAAAGAUUUGCAAAGCGUUAGGAAGAGAGAUGUGGGCCCUCCUUCACCUCUUUCAAGGAGUGAUCAAGCAGUCCGGGGCCUCACCCCUGGCUGUCCACUGGAAGCCCUUGAAGCCUUCUAAAAGUCUCAACACCUGAGUCCUUCACCAAACUGAGUGAACUGGAAUCUCUGAGGGGACACAGCAUCAGUAUUUGUUCUUCUGGGUAGCUGGGCCUGAGAAACCAUAGGUUUCAUCAAAUCCCCUUUCUUUCUAGGUGAGAAUAUUUUGGCCCAGAGAAUUCAAGUGCUUUGCCUAAGGCCACACAGAUAAUUAGGGGCAGAGCUAGUACCAGAGCUCAAUCAGACCAAUUGCUGGACCAGGUGCCCAGGUAAGCGUAAAGAGAACAAUUUUGUAGAGAUGCAGCCAGAGGAGCUAUUUUACCUGAUGGUUCAGAAUGAGGCUUCUAGAAACAGACUCCCUGAGCCUGCUCGUUGGAAGAAUUACCUAAUUGAUUAAUCUGAAUCCCAGUUCUGCCACCCUCCUGUGAGACCUUGGCAAAACACUGAGCCUUGCAAAACCUCACAUCCAUUGGCUACAAAACCGGGGUGAGUGGUGUCCAGGGUGGGGAGAGGUGAUAGCAAUAAUACCUUACUGGGAGGUCAAUGAAAUAACUGUAAAGUGCUUAGCAUAGUGCUUGGCACAGUGCUCAAUGCUGUGGACUGUUGUUAACAUUACUAAUAUCACACAAAUGUGCUAGUACUAGUCCUUGGGCCGUAUGGGAUUAAUAUCUGAAGCCAGCGGCAUGUCAUGUGCAGGAGAUAGGGUGGAAACUGGUCUCGAGGACACUGAGCUGUAAACAUGCAGGGACUAAGACACCACGAUACAAGGAAACAUAGCCUUUCUGGACUUCCAAGAUGAUUUACUGGUUCAAAUUCCAACCGCAUUACUUGGAAUGAGGUUCUCAGUCCUCCUUCCCUUUGGGGCUCUUUAAAUCCAUGCGGUCUCUGUGUGCUCAUAUUCAGCAGACACAGAAGUAGAGAAUG
rnacentral:lncRNA from 1 species